UACGUAGGGUGCAAGCGUUAAUCGGAAUUACUGGGCGUAAAGCGUGCGCAGGCGGUUUUGUAAGUCUGUCGUGAAAUCCCCGGGCUCAACCUGGGAAUGGCGAUGGAGACUGCAAGGCUAGAGUUUGGCAGAGGGGGGGUAGAAUUCCACGUGUAGCAGUGAAAUGCGCAGAUAUGUGGAGGAACACCGAUGGCGAAGGCAGCCCCCCUGGGUCAAAACUGACGCUCAUGCACGAAAGCGUGGGGAGCAAACAGG
rnacentral:rRNA from 1 species